rnacentral:rRNA from 1 species
CCUACGGGAGGGCAGCAGUGGGGAACAUUGCACAAUGGGGGAAACCCUGAUGCAGCAACGCCGCGUGAGUGAAGAAGUAUUUCGGUAUGUAAAGCUCUAUCAGCAGGGAAGAAAAUGACGGUACCUGAGUAAGAAGCCCCGGCUAACUACGUGCCAGCAGCCGCGGUAAUACGUAGGGGGCAAGCGUUAUCCGGAUUUACUGGGUGUAAAGGGAGCGUAGAGGGCGAUGCAAGUCUGACGUGAAAGCCCGGGUCUCAACCCCGGGACUGCUUUGGAAACUGUAUGGCUGGAGUGCUGGAGAGGCAAGCGGAAUGCCUAGUGUAGCGGUGAAAUGCGUAGAUAUUAGGAAGAACACCAGUGGCGAAGGCGGCUUGCUGGACAGUAACUGACGUUGAGGCUCGAAAGCGUGGGGAGCAAACAGGAUUAGAUACCCGGGUAGUC